GCGGCGGACGGGUGAGUAACACGUGGGUAACCUGCCUGUAAGACUGGGAUAACUCCGGGAAACCGGGGCUAAUACCGGAUGCUUGAUUGAACCGCAUGGUUCAAUUAUAAAAGGUGGCUUUUAGCUACCACUUACAGAUGGACCCGCGGCGCAUUAGCUAGUUGGUGAGGUAACGGCUCACCAAGGCGACGAUGCGUAGCCGACCUGAGAGGGUGAUCGGCCACACUGGGACUGAGACACGGCCCAGACUCCUACGGGAGGCAGCAGUAGGGAAUCUUCCGCAAUGGACGAAAGUCUGACGGAGCAACGCCGCGUGAGUGAUGAAGGUUUUCGGAUCGUAAAACUCUGUUGUUAGGGAAGAACAAGUACCGUUCGAAUAGGGCGGUACCUUGACGGUACCUAACCAAAAAGCCACGGCUAACUACGUGCCACCAGCCGCGGUAAUAC
rnacentral:rRNA from 1 species